AGUGAACGCUGGCGGUAGGCCUAACACAUGCAAGUCGAACGGCAGCAAAGGAGAGCUUGCUCUCUGGGUGGCGAGUGGCGGACGGGUGAGGAAUACAUCGGAAUCUACUCUGUCGUGGGGGAUAACGUAGGGAAACUUACGCUAAUACCGCAUACGACCUACGGGUGAAAGCAGGGGACCUUCGGGCCUUGCGCGAUUGAAUGAGCCGAUGUCGGAUUAGCUAGUUGGCGGGGUAAAGGCCCACCAAGGCGACGAUCCGUAGCUGGUCAGAGGGGAUGAUCAGCCCAACUGGAACUGAGACACGGGCCAGACGCCUACGGGAGGCAGCAGUGGGGAAUAGUGGACAAUGGGCGCAAGCCUGAUCCAGCCAUACCUCGUGGGUGAAGAAGGCCUUCGGGUUGUAAAGCCCUUUUGUUGGGAAAGAAAUCCAGCUGGCUAAUACCCGGUUGGGAUGACGGUACCCAAAGAAUAAGCACCGGCUAACUUCGUGCCAGCCGCCGCCGUAA
rnacentral:rRNA from 1 species